rnacentral:rRNA from 1 species
AAUGAACGCUGGCGGCGCGCCUAAUACAUGCAAGUCGAGCGAGAAGACGUAGCAAUACGUUUGUAAAGCGGCGAACGGGUGAGGAAUACAUGGGUAACCUACCCUCGAGUGGGGAAGUAACUAGCCGAAAGGUUAGCUAAUACCGCGUACGCUCCUUGGACUUCGGUUCAGGGAGGGAAAGACGAUACCGUGGGUAUCGCGCUCUUGGUUGGGCUCAUGUCCUAUCAGCUUGUUGGUGAGGAACGGCUCACCAAGGCUUCGACGGGUAGCUGGUCUGAGAGGACGAUCAGCCACACUGGCACUGCGACACGGGCCAGACUCCUACGGGAGGCAGCAGUAAGGAAUAUUGCGCAAUGGGCGAAAGCCUGACGCAGCGACGCCGCCGUGGGGGAGUGAAGGGU